CCUACGGGAGGCAGCAGUGAGGAAUAUUGGUCAAUGGCCGGAAGGCUGAACCAGCCAUGCCGCGUGAAGGUCAGUGCCCUAUGGGCGUUAAACUUCUUUUGUGCGGGAGCAAUAAUGGACACGUGUGGCCAGACGAGAGUACCGUACGAAUAAGCAUCGGCUAACUCCGUGCCAGCAGCCGCGGUAAUACGGGGGAUGCAAGCGUUAUCCGGAUUUAUUGGGGUUAAAGGGUGCGGAGGCUGUGAGGUAAGUCAGCGGUGAAAUGCCCCCGCUCAACGGGGUGAAGGGCCAUUGAUACUGCCUUGCUGGAAUGCGGAUGCCGUGGGAGGAAUGUGUGGUGUAGCGGUGAAAUGCAUAGAUAUCACACAGAACACCGAUUGCGAAGGCAUCUCACGAAUCCGCGAUUGACGCUGAUGCACGAAAGCGUGGGUAUCAAACAGGAUUAGAUACCCCAGUAGUC
rnacentral:rRNA from 1 species